GUGAGGAAUAUUGGUCAAUGGACGAGAGUCUGAACCAGCCAAGUCGCGUGAAGGAAGACGGUUCUAUGAAUUGUAAACUUCUUUUGUGCAGGAAUAAAGUGGGUUACGUGUAACCUUUUGUAUGUACUGUACGAAUAAGGAUCGGCUAACUCCGUGCCAGCAGCCGCGGUAAUACGGAGGAUCCGAGCGUUAUCCGGAUUUAUUGGGUUUAAAGGGUGCGUAGGUGGAUUGAUAAGUCAGCGGUGAAAGUUUGCAGCUUAACUGUAAAAUUGCCGUUGAAACGGUCGGUCUUGAGUGCAAAUGAGGUAGGCGGAAUGUGUUGUGUAGCGGUGAAAUGCUUAGAUAUAACACAGAACUCCGAUUGCGAAGGCAGCUUACUGGGAUGCAACUGACACUGAUGCACGAAAGCGUGGGUAUCAAACAGGAUUAGAAACCCGAGUAGUCC
rnacentral:rRNA from 1 species